CAAUAGCGUAUAUUUAAGUUGUUGCAGUUAAAAAGCUCGUAGUUGGAUUUCGGGUGGGACGCAGCGGUCUCGCAUUGCGUUUGUACUGCUGCAGCCCUCCUUCUUGCCGGGGGCGGCCUCUCGGACUUCACUGUCUGGGGGUCAGAAUCGGCGAUGUUACUUUGAGUAAAUUAGAGUGUUCAAAGCAAGCUUACGCUCUGAAUAUAAUAGCAUGGGAUAACACGACAGGAUUCUGGCCUAUCGUGUUGGUCUAUAGGACCAGAGUAAUGAUUAAGAGGGACAGUCGGGGGCAUUCGUAUUCCGUUGUCAGAGGUGAAAUUCUUGGAUUUACGGAAGACGAACAUCUGCGAAAGCAUUUGCCAAGGAUGUUUUCAUUGA
rnacentral:rRNA from 1 species